UCCUACGGGACGCAGCAGUGGGGAAUAUUGCACAAUGGGGGAAACCCUGAUGCAGCAACGCCGCGUGAGUGAAGAAGUCAUUCGUGAUGUAAAGCUCUAUCAGCAGGGAAGAAAAUGACGGUACCUGAGUAAGAAGCCCCGGCUAACUACGUGCCAGCAGCCGCGGUAAUACGUAGGUGGCAAGCGUUAUCCGGAUUUACUGGGUGUAAAGGGCGUGUAGGCGGGAGAGCAAGUCAGACGUGAAAUUCCAGGGCUCAACCCUGGAACUGCGUUUGAAACUGUUCUUCUUGAGUGAUG
rnacentral:rRNA from 1 species